rnacentral:rRNA from 1 species
UACAGAGGGUGCAAGCGUUGUUCGGAAUUAUUGGGCGUAAAGGGCGCGUAGGCGGUGCGGUAAGUCUGUAGUGAAAUCUCUGGGCUCAACUCAGAGCCUGCAGGCGAAACUGUGGUGCUGGAGUGUGGGAGAGGUGCGUGGAAUUCCCGGUGUAGCGGUGAAAUGCGUAGAUAUCGGGGAGGAACACCUGUGGCGAAAGCGGCGCACUGGACCAUAACUGACGCUGGAUGACGCGGAAAGCCUAGGGGAGCAAACAGG